UACGGAGGGGGCUAGCGUUGUUCGGAUUUAUUGGGCGGAAAGAGCGUGUAGGCGGCCAAGUAAGUCCGUUGUGAAAACUCGAGGCUUAACCUCGAGAUGUCAUCGGAAACUAUUUGGCUAGAGUCCGGAAGAGGAGAGUGGAAUUCCUGGUGUAGCGGUGAAAUGCGCAGAUAUCAGGAAGAACACCUAUGGCGAAAGCAGCUCUCUGGGACGGUACUGACGCUGAGACGCGAAAGCGUGGGGAGCGAACAGG
rnacentral:rRNA from 1 species